rnacentral:rRNA from 1 species
CCUACGGGGGGCUGCAGUCGAGAAUCUUCGGCAAUGAGCGCAAGCUUGACCGAGCGACGCCGCGUGCGGGAUGAAGGCCUUCGGGUUGUAAACCGCUUUGGUCCGAAAGAAAGGUUAAAACUUGAUCGAUCGGAGAAACAAGGACGGGCUAAGUUCGUGCCAGCAGCCGCGGUAAGACGAACCGUCCAAACGUUAUUCGGAAUCACUGGGCGUAACGGGCGCGUAGGCGGCCGAGCGGGUCGUGGGUGAAAUCCCCCAGCUGAACUGGGGAACGGCUUACGAGACCACUGCGGCUCGAGGAAGGAAGGGGAAAUUGGAACGGUCGGUGGAGCGGUGAAAUGCGUUGAUAUCGACAGGAACGCCGGUGGCGAAAGCGAAUUGCUGGUCCGUUUCUGACGCUGAGGCGCGAAAGCCAGGGGAGCAAACGGGAUUAGAUACCCGAGUAGUC